rnacentral:lncRNA from 1 species
AAACGUUCUCAUCCAACAAAAGAAAACAGAGGUAACCAAGUUUUUAGAUGACAGAGCAAAGAUGGUUCCACUCUCCUUUUUUCAAGAAUCGCUCCAAAACAAUAAAGAGAAUGAGAAACAAUAGUGAAACCCAUAUUCUAUAAGGGCAGGAGACAUCUGUAAUCUGGAACUGCAAUGGAUGAAGAUGAGAAACCGAUGGAGGAAUGGGAGCCACUUAUUAGAUCUCUGGAAAGUCAAACCCAAGAGCCAGGAGGUGAUACCAUUGUGAAUCAGGCUGACUUCCCACUGCGGAAAACAGGGAAGUCUGGAGAGUUGACAGAUCCACAUACUGCAUUGAUCAGAAGUGAACAUGGAACUGAAAACAGCCCUGUAGUAGAAAGAUAAUAACACCAGGUACCAUUUGUGGUGCACCUUUUCUUCCUCUUUACAAACAUUCUCUCAUGCAAUCCUCAUGACAACAGCAAAAGGUAUUAUUUCCCUCCUUUUAUGGAUGCAAAAUCUAAGGCUCAGAGGGAAAAAGUCUUUUGUCCCAGAUUGCAAAGAGAGAAUAAGACACUGCAUCAAUGUAUGUAUCCUUAAUUCCAAAGCCCUACCACUAGACCCCACCACCUCUCUGGGUAAAACCGAGCCAUGAGUGCCCAGUGUACCCAUGCUGAAUAGGUGGCCAGGGUGACAUAUGCCUGGCAAUGGUGAUGGCAGGGACU